rnacentral:rRNA from 1 species
ACGAACGCUGGCGGCGUGCCUAAUACAUGCAAGUAGAACGCUGAAGAGAGGAGCUUGCUCUUCUUGGAUGAGUUGCGAACGGGUGAGUAACGCGUAGGUAACCUGCCUUGUAGCGGGGGAUAACUAUUGGAAACGAUAGCUAAUACCGCAUAACAAUGGAUGACACAUGUCAUUUAUUUGAAAGGGGCAAUUGCUCCACUACAAGAUGGACCUGCGUUGUAUUAGCUAGUAGGUGAGGUAACGGCUCACCUAGGCGACGAUACAUAGCCGACCUGAGAGGGUGAUCGGCCACACUGGGACUGAGACACGGCCCAGACUCCUACGGGAGGCAGCAGUAGGGAAUCUUCGGCAAUGGGGGCAACCCUGACCGAGCAACGCCGCGUGAGUGAAGAAGGUUUUCGGAUCGUAAAGCUCUGUUGUAAGUCAAGAACGAGUGUGAGAGUGGAAAGUUCACACUGUGACGGUAGCUUACCAGAAAGGGACGGCUAACUACGUGCCAGCAGCCGCGGUAAUACGUAGGUCCCGAGCGUUGUCCGGAUUUAUUGGGCGUAAAGCGAGCGCAGGCGGUUUGAUAAGUCUGAAGUUAAAGGCUGUGGCUCAACCAUAGUUCGCUUUGGAAACUGUCAAACUUGAGUGCAGAAGGGGAGAGUGGAAUUCCAUGUGUAGCGGUGAAAUGCGUAGAUAUAUGGAGGAACACCGGUGGCGAAAGCGGCUCUCUGGUCUGUAACUGACGCUGAGGCUCGAAAGCGUGGGGAGCGAACAGGAUUAGAUACCCUGGUAGUCCACGCCGUAAACGAUGAGUGCUAGGUGUUGGAUCCUUUCCGGGAUUCAGUGCCGCAGCUAACGCAUUAAGCACUCCGCCUGGGGAGUACGACCGCAAGGUUGAAACUCAAAGGAAUUGACGGGGGCCCGCACAAGCGGUGGAGCAUGUGGUUUAAUUCGAAGCAACGCGAAGAACCUUACCAGGUCUUGACAUCCCGAUGCUAUUUCUAAAGAUAGAAAGUUACUUCGGUACAUCGGUGACAGGUGGUGCAUGGUUGUCGUCAGCUCGUGUCGUGAGAUGUUGGGUUAAGUCCCGCAACGAGCGCAACCCCUAUUGUUAGUUGCCAUCAUUCAGUUGGGCACUCUAGCGAGACUGCCGGUAAUAAACCGGAGGAAGGUGGGGAUGACGUCAAAUCAUCAUGCCCCUUAUGACCUGGGCUACACACGUGCUACAAUGGUUGGUACAACGAGUUGCGAGUCGGUGACGGCAAGCUAAUCUCUUAAAGCCAAUCUCAGUUCGGAUUGUAGGCUGCAACUCGCCUACAUGAAGUCGGAAUCGCUAGUAAUCGCGGAUCAGCACGCCGCGGUGAAUACGUUCCCGGGCCUUGUACACACCGCCCGUCACACCACGAGAGUUUGUAACACCCGAAGUCGGUGAGGUAACCUUUUGGAGCCAGCCGCCUAAGGUGGGAUAGAUGAUUGGGGUG